GGACCGCUUGCUCUCUGUCGCUCUCUGCCGUCGUAAAAAAGAGCAAAAUAUGGAUAAACUACUUCCACCGUAUAACUAACUGGCAAAAAAAGAACCCAGACGAAAUUUCACAGAACAAGGGGAUUUAUCCAUCCAUGAAGAGAAUCCAUAUCCAGAUCUGCAAGUGGUGUGAUCUGGAUAUCCUUGAAAUGGCUGUGGGCUCUUGCAUGAACUGGCUGAAAUGGCCGAAGUUUUCUCAAAUCCCAGACCAUCCUUUGCUCAUCUGCUUCCGAACUCACGGUGGAAUGGCGAGAAGAGUUGUAUUUCUUGUGCUGCAUCACAGGCGAUGUUCCUCCCUCUCCCACCAGACCAGUUCAAGAAUCGUCCCCAUUUGACGCGAUGUGCAGUUUCCUCUGACAGAAGAGCCUGGAAAUAAAGGAUUGUAAAAAUGUUUUUAAAAGCAUUAUGGGGCUUUAAAAAGUGGUUGACUCCCUGCUGGAAAGGUAGCUUGCAAAGGAAGCCCUAUAAAACAGUGAUAUUAUAUACAUGGAAAGGUUAAGAAAAGUCAAAAACACAUUUAUUUUGACCUGCAAUUACUCUAUUUAAAACAAAUAAGAUACAUUUUUAUGUUUACUUUGACUUUGAAAUAAGUGACUGCCAAAUAUAGAAUAACUUUUUUACAUAGUGUUGCUUUAUAGUGGUUUAACUGUAUCUUAAAUUGAUUAUAAGGGUAAUAUGUGGCACAACAACUAUUACAUAAAAGGAUAAAUACUGAUAAUGUAGUUUUAGUUAAUACCUGUCAUUUAAAAAAAAAGCCAAUCAA